GAUGAACGCUGGCGGCGUGCCUAAUACAUGCAAGUCGAGCGAACGGACGAGAAGCUUGCUUCUCUGAUGUUAGCGGCGGACGGGUGAGUAACACGUGGAUAACCUACCUAUAAGACUGGGAUAACUUCGGGAAACCGGAGCUAAUACCGGAUAAUAUUUUGAACCGCAUGGUUCAAAAGUGAAAGACGGUCUUGCUGUCACUUAUAGAUGGAUCCGCGCUGCAUUAGCUAGUUGGUAAGGUAACGGCUUACCAAGGCAACGAUGCAUAGCCGACCUGAGAGGGGUGACCGGCACCACGGAACCUAGAACACGGCCCGGCUCCCUCGGGGGGGAAGCGGAAGGGAUUCUCCGGAAAGGGGCAAAAGCCGGAGGGGGCAACGCCGGGUGAGUGAGGAAGGUUUUGGAAUCUAAAAACUUUUUUAUUGGGAAAAAACAUAUGGGAAAGUAACUGUCCACUUCUUGAGGGUCCCUAAUCAGAAAGCCCCGCCAAACUCGGUC
rnacentral:rRNA from 1 species